rnacentral:rRNA from 1 species
UGGGGAAUAUUGCACAAUGGGCGCAAGCCUGAUGCAGCCAUGCCGCGUGUGUGAAGAAGGCCUUCGGGUUGUAAAGCACUUUCAGCGAGGAGGAAGGUGGUGAACUUAAUACGUUCAUCAAUUGACGUUACUCGCAGAAGAAGCACCGGCUAACUCCGUGCCAGCAGCCGCGGUAAUACGGAGGGUGCAAGCGUUAAUCGGAAUUACUGGGCGUAAAGCGCACGCAGGCGGUUUGUUAAGUCAGAUGUGAAAUCCCCGGGCUCAACCUGGGAACUGCAUUUGAAACUGGCAAGCUAGAGUCUCGUAGAGGGGGGUAGAAUUCCAGGUGUAGCGGUGAAAUGCGUAGAGAUCUGGAGAACUACCGGAUGGCGAACGCGGCCCCCUGGACGAAGACUGACGCUCAGGUGCGAAAAGGCGUGGGGCAGCAAAACAGGAUUANAUACCCUGGUAGUCCACGCUGU